UUAAGAUAUUUCAGCCAAAUUUGCUUUCAGUUAAAACAGCUCAAAUGUGCAUUUUAGUCUGGGAUUAUGCUUAAGCCUUGUCUGUGAAACCAUGUGUUUAUCAUUAUGGUUUAAGUAAAAACCACAGUUUUAUUACUGAAACCACAGUCAAAGGUCUGAUGUAAGAGCUGAGAUCAAACCACCAUAUAAACCAACAACCAGAAACUAGCAUUAGAAAAACAGAAGAAAGAGCAAAAACACAGACAGAAUGAGAGAAGAAAUCAACCAAGUUUGCUUAAGUCUGGAGCACAGUGCUGUAUAGAAAUCUCAUGAAUAUAUCUAGCUGGAUAUCGCAGAGAUCAAAGAGAGACUACAAUAUGGAAUAUCAUCCAUUUUACUGGAAGCAAGAAGCUAAACAACUGGAGAUGAGGGUCAGAUUUUCCAUCUUCACCAUCAUUUGUGCGUGCGCAUGUCUUCCAGCUCUUGCUUGGUCUGUCAGCGAUCUAAUUCAUCACAGAAAGAAUGGACACCGUAUUUCAGCCUUCAUCAUCCUCCUCCUCCUCACUGACUUUGUUGAGCUUCUCUUGAGUCCUUACAUACUGAUAAAAUAUCUCUUAAAUGAGAUCUCCUGGUAUACAGAUUGGGCAUGGAGGGUUGUGUAUUCUUUAUGGUUGUCGUCAAGAGACUAUGGUCUCCUCUUAAACCAGCUGGUGGCGCUAGAGGGAAUUCUCUCAGUGAGAUUUCCACUGUAUACUGCUUCUGUUUUCUCUUCACCUUAUUUCAUAAUUUUCUACAUACUCGUGUUUCUCUGUAUCAUUAUCAGUGAGAUUUCGUUGUUGCAUGAAUAUUAUUUCUUUAUUAAUCUUUCUAUGUUCAUUGUGUCUUUGAUCACAUGGAUAAUAUCCUGUAGAGCUUCAUGUUCUGCUGAACAUCGCUCUCACACAUCAAAACUAGAUCAUCAUAUUUUGGUUGUUUUCAUAUUCAAUCUGCUGGUGUUUUACCUGCCCUUCAUUGUACUCUUCAUUCCUCCACAAAAGCUUCUUCCAGUUUGGUAUAUUCCUGUGUUCUUUGUGAGUGUGAGAUUGAUUUCAGACCCGCUCCUGUGUGUGCUGGUCUGCAGGCAGAAUCUCAGUAUUCAGACAUCACAAACACCUGAAGGGACUAGUUUAGUCUGUGGAGGUCUGAUAAGAUGGGCUGUUUGUGAUGUAAUGAUAUUUUGACUAUAAAAUUAGAUAUUUUGAAAUUACUGCUGUCAAUCGAUAAAACAAAUUAACUAAUUAAUCACAUUUUUUCUGUACAAUUUACAAUUGCAUUAGAAUCUCCAAAUUAAUGCAGCUAAAGAAGUAUGUUUUAAAUAUUUGUAGUACAUAAGUACUAUGACUGAAGGCAAUUUCAAUACUGACGCCUCUAUUAAAUGGAUUUUUAUUUUUCAAUUUCUAGAGGUGAAAUUGGUAAUUAUAGCAUUUUUAUGUUUAUCAUUUAUUAACAAUUUGUCACGUCUGCUGUUUUGUGUUUCUUAUGCUGCCUUCACAUGCUCUCUGAAUUAUCGUAAAUACGAGUUUCCUUGGUAAAAAUUGCACAUGAACGCCCUCCCAUUUUGAAAGUUGAAUGCGAUGAGCUUGUAAUCACAACUUCAGAAGUGGGAAUUAUCAAAUUUCCAACAGCACAUGAAGGCAGCAUUAGUUUGACCUAGUUUCUGUCUGUCAGUCUGUUAAUUAUGUAAUUAGUUUCUACCUGUGAUCAUUAACUCGCUCAUUAGUUCCUUUGUUUGGUCAGUGUAUUUAUACCUUGUGUUCUCCCUCAGUCUUUGUCCAUUCUCGUUAAUGUAACUGUGUAUUCUCCUGUGUUUAUCCUGUUCCUGCUUUUUUGCUAUUAAAGCCUAUCCCCUAAUAUUA